AGGCAGAUUAACUGGCCUAAUUGGACCUAAGCUGCUGUGAAGAGAGAGGAAAAGAAGGUGGAGGCACAGGCUCUCCAAGUCCUCAAGUCACAUCCUCCUGGUUGACUGGUCUGCUUAGCCAAGCUGAAACUGGUCUUAUUGUCAUGUUGGGUGCAUUAAUUGGAGUGCAGACUAAUUUGCAAGAAUGCUUUAGUGCCCUUUAAAAGGUAAAUGGUAUUUGGUGGUGUUAAAGAAGAAACUGAAGUUAGUCUCCUGUAAGCCUUGAUGUCUUUUGAGAUUUCAUCCUGGCUCUACAUUUGAUCAGAACUUUCAUCUUGCUGCAAAGCCUACUACAAAAAGUCAAACAAAAAUGGAAGCUACAGUAGAGUCACUAUGGCCGAGGACUGAUAAUGAUGACACUUCCCACAUCUGGAAUACGAAUUAAGAAUAUUUGUGUGUGAGUUAUUUACUCAUUUAUCCAGCGCUUUUUACUUCAGCCAUUUAUAUCAUUAUCCUACUGAUGUGAAGACACUGUAGCAUAUGAACCAAUAAGACUCACCAGCAUGCAAGUUACAGUUGAAGGCAUGCACAUUUCUGCUCUACAAAGAUAUUUCAUGCAGGGUUUCCUCAUUGGGACAGAAGUUACAGUAGAUUCAGUAAUCAGCUGAAAGUCAUAUGACAUAAGAAAAUUAUUUAUUAAAAAGGUUCUAUUUUCGAAAUGAAGAAUGGAUUCCUUUCCCCUUUUGAACAUAUAAACCAGAAUU
rnacentral:lncRNA from 7 species